AUGCCGGAAAACCAAAAGUCACCUAAAUCUCUUCCUCUUUCCCCUCAAAUCCGCACUCACCGAACCACUGCCUUCCACCCUUGCCGCCACCGCCAGAAACGGACGGUUCCCCUCUCUCCUUCCGCCGGAAACCAACGACUCCUUCUCCCUCAUUCAGCCGCAGAUUCGUGGCUUGCAUCGCCUCCCUCCGUUCAUGUAUUGUUCUACAGUCAAGCAUCUUCGAUCAACUUCAAGCUCCUCUUCACUUCAUUCGAUAAUAUUUCUAUAUUUGAUUCUUCUUAG